UUGAACGCUGGUGGCAUGCCUUACACAUGCAAGUCGAACGGUAGAGGGGCAACCCUUGAGAGUGGCGAACGGGUGAGUAAUAUAUCGGAACGUGCCCAGUCGUGGGGGAUAACGCAGCGAAAGCUGCGCUAAUACCGCAUACGAUCUAUGGAUGAAAGCGGGGGAUCGCAAGACCUCGCGCGAUUGGAGCGGCCGAUAUCAGAUUAGGUAGUUGGUGGGGUAAAAGCCCACCAAGCCGACGAUCUGUAGCCG
rnacentral:rRNA from 1 species